GCGAUAGUGGCACAACGGAUAAUGCGCCUGACUAGGGAUCAGGAGAUUCCCUGUUCGAAUUCUGGCUAGCUCGACAUAUUCGCA